rnacentral:rRNA from 2 species
AACGCUAGCUACAGGCUUAACACAUGCAAGUCGAGGGGCAGCAUUUUAGUUUGCUUGCAAACUGAAGAUGGCGACCGGCGCACGGGUGAGUAACACGUAUCCAACCUACCGAUAACUCCGGAAUAGCCUUUCGAAAGAAAGAUUAAUACCGGAUAGCAUACGAAUAUCGCAUGAUAUUUUUAUUAAAGAAUUUCGGUUAUCGAUGGGGAUGCGUUCCAUUAGUUUGUUGGCGGGGUAACGGCCCACCAAGACUACGAUGGAUAGGGGUUCUGAGAGGAAGGUCCCCCACAUUGGAACUGAGACACGGUCCAAACUCCUACGGGAGGCAGCAGUGAGGAAUAUUGGUCAAUGGGCGAGAGCCUGAACCAGCCAAGUAGCGUGAAGGAUGAAGGCUCUAUGGGUCGUAAACUUCUUUUAUAUGGGAAUAAAGUUUUCCACGUGUGGAAUUUUGUAUGUACCAUAUGAAUAAGGAUCGGCUAACUCCGUGCCAGCAGCCGCGGUAAUACGGAGGAUCCGAGCGUUAUCCGGAUUUAUUGGGUUUAAAGGGAGCGUAGGUGGAUUGUUAAGUCAGUUGUGAAAGUUUGCGGCUCAACCGUAAAAUUGCAGUUGAAACUGGCAGUCUUGAGUACAGUAGAGGUGGGCGGAAUUCGUGGUGUAGCGGUGAAAUGCUUAGAUAUCACGAAGAACUCCGAUUG